rnacentral:rRNA from 1 species
GACGAACGCUGGCGGCGUGCUUAACACAUGCAAGUCGAACGGAAAGUCCCUGCUUUUGUUGGGUGCUCGAGUGGCGAACGGGUGAGUAACACGUUAGUAACCUGCCCUUGACUUUGGGAUAACUUCAGGUAACUGGGGCUAAUUCCGGCUCGGAGCUUCUGCUGCAUGGUGGGGGUUGGAAAGUUUCGGCGGUUGGGGAUGGACUCGCGGCUUUUCAGCUUGUUGGUGGGGUAGUUGCUUACCUAGGCUUUGACGGGUAGCCGGGCUGAGAGGGUGACCGGACAGAUGAGGGCAGAGAAGCGACCGGUACUCCUACGGGAGUCAACAGUGGGUAAUAUUGUACAAUGGGGGGAAGACUAAUGCAGCAACGCCGCGUGCGAGAUGACGAGAAUCGGGUUGUAAACCGCAUUAGCCGGUGACGAAGCGUGAGUGGCGGUAAUGGGUAAAGAGGCACCGGCUAACUACGUG